GCAUAAAUUAUUAAGUAUUCAGUUUUCAAUCGACAUUCAGAACGAAGUGUACGUUACGUGUGCUCAAAUUUAAGCCAAAUUUUCCGUUUACAUCUCGGGAAUUGGAGUUUUAUUAAAAAAUAUGCAGCGGUUUAUAACGUUCGUUGUUGGUGGAAUCGUCGGUUUCCUCGUCGCUAAGAAUACCCGCUAAAUACAAUCAUGGCCUAUGUAAUAUGCUUUGGGAUGGGCAUGGUUUUUGGCAUGUUCGUAUGCCGCCGUUGUGAACCCUGAAUAAGACGACUCCACGUAUCAACUAAAACCUUUGAUAGACUCUUAGAAAUCAAGAUGGCCAGAGCAUUCGAUUAAAAUGGGUUUGGAAUAAAUAAGUCUGCCACAAUCAUA